AGGACUGUGGCUGCAUCACUGGCUUCUUGCACAAGAAAGGCACGCGAGUGUCGUUCAGUUUUGAGUUCGCUGGAAAAUCACAAUCAGACUUUGAAUACACCACUCUCUCCUUCACCCGCAUCACGCACAGGAAGGAGACGCAGAUGUGAGAAUAACAGUGCAAAAGAACCUGUGGCAAAGAGAGCUAAACCAAAUAAGCAGCCCACUCGGUCAUGGAAAACAGAGACUGAUGUCGACAUGGCUCCACAGGCUCUGAGAUUCCUGCCCGCACGGGAACCUGGACCACAGCUAAGACCAUGUGAUGCACACACUCCCAUGAGUCUGUUCAAAAUGUUAUUUUCUGAAAAUGCUGUGUCAACUCUUCUCAGGCUGCCAGGGCACGUGCAAAGGGCCAUAGAUAUAAAUGGACAGACGUCAGCAUCAGUGAGCUGUACUGCUACAUUGGGCUACUCUUCUACAUGGCCAUGGUGAAGUUGAGGUCCAUCAGAGAUUACUGGCGGCAGGACAGUCUUUUCUCUGUUCCUUUUCCUGCCACAAUCAUGUCAAGGGACAGCAUAAGGAGCAAUGGACUUGCUCCUAUGCCUUUAUGUAAUUUUUUUGUGAGAUUGCAGGGAAGCAGUAGAUCCACUAGAGCAGCUUCUAGUGGAAACUGUAGAGUUAUGCAUCGUAAAACAUAAUUUGCUCAGACUGCCCUCUCAG